UAGACCACUUUGAAAACGGGACCAAAAAUUAAGAAUCUACAUACACAGUUAGAUUCAGCAUAUCAAAGAACCCCAAUUAUUCAAUUUUUGAUUAAAUCAAACAAAGUUUAAUGUUGAACCCUUUGGACCCCUUAUUCCUAAACUGUUGGGACCAAAACUCCCAAAAUCAAUCCCAACCUUCCUUUUAUGGUUAUAAACCUUGUGUUUAAAUUUCAUAGAUUUCUAUUUACUUAUACUAAAGUUAUGGUGCGAAAACCAAGAAAAAUGCUUAUUUGGGCCCCUUUUUGGCCCCUUAUUCCUAAACUGUUUGGACCUCAACUCCCAAAAUCAAUCCCAAUCUUCCUUUUAUGGUCAUAGACCUUGUGUUUAAAUUUCAUUGAUUUCUAUUUACUUAUACUAAAGUUAUUGUGCGAAAACCAAGAAUAAUGCUUAUUUUGGCCCUUUUUUGGCCCCUAAUUCUUAAACUGUUGGAACCAAAACUCCCAAAAUCAAUCCCCACCUUUCUUUUGUGGUCAUAAACCUUGUGUCAAAAUUUCAUAGAUUUCUAUUUACUUAAACUAAAGUUAUAGUGCGAAAACCAAGAAAAUGCUUAUUUGGGCUCUUUUUGGCCCCUAAUUCCUAAACUGUUGGGACCAAAACUCCCAAAAUCAAUCCCAACCUUGCUUUUGUGGUCAUAAACCUUAUGUUAAAAUUUCAUAGAUUUCUAUUCACUUUUACUAAAGUUAGAGUGCGAAAACUAAAAGUAUUCGGACGACGACGACGACGACGACGACGCCAACGUGAUAGCAAUAUACGACGAAAAUUUUUUCAAAUUUUGCGGUCGUAUAAAAAAAUUGAAAG
rnacentral:lncRNA from 1 species